ACGAACGCUGGCGGCGUGCUUAACACAUGCAAGUCGAACGAUGAAGCCCAGCUUGCUGGGUGGAUUAGUGGCGAACGGGUGAGUAACACGUGAGUAACCUGCCCUGGACUCUGGGAUAACCCCGAGAAAUCGGAGCUAAUACCGGAUAGGACCUUUCCUCGCAUGAGGUUUGGUGGAAAGUUUUUCGGUUUGGGAUGGACUCGCGGCCUAUCAGCUUGUUGGUGAGGUAAUGGCUCACCAAGGCGUCGACGGGUAGCCGGCCUGAGAGGGUGACCGGCCACACUGGGACUGAGACACGGCCCAGACUCCUACGGGAGGCAGCAGUGGGGAAUAUUGCACAAUGGGCGCAAGCCUGAUGCAGCAACGCCGCGUGAGGGAUGACGGCCUUCGGGUUGUAAACUCCUUUCGCCAUUGACGAAGCCCUUUGGGGUGACGGUAGGUGGAGAAGAAGCACCGGCUAACUACGUGCCAGCCGCCGCAGUAAUAC
rnacentral:rRNA from 1 species